rnacentral:rRNA from 1 species
UCGGGAAUUUUGGGCAAUGGGGGAAACCCUGACCCAGCAACGCCGCGUGAAGGAUGAAGUAUUUCGGUAUGUAAACUUCGAAAGAAUAGGAAGAAUAAAUGACGGUACUAUUUAUAAGGUCCGGCUAACUACGUGCCAGCAGCCGCGGUAAUACGUAGGGACCAAGCGUUGUUCGGAUUUACUGGGCGUAAAGGGCGCGUAGGCGGCAUGACAAGUCACCUGUGAAAUCUCUGGGCUUAACCCAGAACGGCCAAGUGAUACUGUCGCGCUAGAGUGCAGAAGGGGCAAUCGGAAUUCUUGGUGUAGCGGUGAAAUGCGUAGAUAUCAAGAGGAACACCUGAGGUGAAGACGGGUUGCUGGGCUGACACUGACGCUGAGGCGCGAAAGCCAGGGGAGCAAACGGGAUUAGAUACCCCAGUAGUCCCUGAGCGGGCUGGCAAGGCGCAU